CACCGGGCUUAACUACGUGCCAGCAGCCGCGGUAAUACGUAGGGUGCAAGCGUUAUCCGGAAUUAUUGGGCGUAAAGAGCUCGUAGGGCGGUUUGUCACGUCUGCUGUGAAAUCCCGAGGCUCAACCUCGGGUCUGCAGUGGGUACGGGCAGACUAGAGUGCGGUAGGGGAGAUUGGAAUUCCUGGUGUAGCGGUGGAAUGCGCAGAUAUCAGGAGGAACACCGAUGGCGAAGGCAGAUCUCUGGGCCGUUACUGACGCUGAGGAGCGAAAGGGUGGGGAGCAAACAGGCUUAGAUACCCUGGUAGUCCACCCCGUAAACGUUGGGAACUAGUUGUGGGGACCAUUCCACGGUCUCCGUGACGCAGCUAACGCAUUAAGUUCCCCGCCUGGGGAGUACGGCCGCAAGGCUAAAACUCAAAGGAAUUGACGG
rnacentral:rRNA from 1 species